UGAUCCUGCCGGAGGCCACUGCUAUGGGGGUCCGACUAAGCCAUGCGAGUCAUGGGGCGCGCUCUGCGCGCACCGGCGGACGGCUCAGUAACACGUCGGUAACCUACCCUCGGGAGGGGGAUAACCCCGGGAAACUGGGGCUAAUCCCCCAUAGGCCUGAGGUACUGGAAGGUCCUCAGGCCGAAAGGGGCAUCUGCCCGCCCGAGGAUGGGCCGGCGGCCGAUUAGGUAGUUGGUGGGGUAACGGCCCACCAAGCCGAAGAUCGGUACGGGCCAUGAGAGUGGGAGCCCGGAGAUGGACACUGAGACACGGGUCCAGGCCCUACGGGGCGCAGCAGGCGCGAAACCUCCGCAAUGCGGGCAACCGCGACGGGGGGACCCCCAGUGCCGUGGAAUAGCCACGGCUUUUCCGGAGUGUAAAAAGCUCCGGGAAUAAGGGCUGGGCAAGGCCGGUGGCAGCCGCCGCGGUAAUACCGGCGGCCCGAGUGGUGGCCGCUAUUAUUGGGCCUAAAGCGUCCGUAGCCGGGCCCGUAAGUCCCUGGCGAAAUCCCACGGCUCAACCGUGGGGCUUGCUGGGGAUACUGCGGGCCUUGGGACCGGGAGAGGCCGGGGGUACCCCUGGGGUAGGGGUGAAAUCCUAUAAUCCCAGGGGGACCGCCAGUGGCGAAGGCGCCCGGCUGGAACGGGUCCGACGGUGAGGGACGAAGGCCAGGGGAGCGAACCGGAUUAGAUACCCGGGUAGUCCUGGCUGUAAAGGAUGCGGGCUAGGUGUCGGGCGAGCUUCGAGCUCGCCCGGUGCCGGAGGGAAGCCGUUAAGCCCGCCGCCUGGGGAGUACGGCCGCAAGGCUGAAACUUAAAGGAAUUGGCGGGGGAGCACUACAAGGGGUGGAGCGUGCGGUUUAAUUGGAUUCAACGCCGGGAACCUCACCGGGGGCGACGGCAGGAUGAAGGCCAGGCUGAAGGUCUUGCCGGACACGCCGAGAGGAGGUGCAUGGCCGCCGUCAGCUCGUACCGUGAGGCGUCCACUUAAGUGUGGUAACGAGCGAGACCCGCGCCCCCAGUUGCCAGUCCUCCCCGCUGGGGAGGAGGCACUCUGGGGGGACCGCCGGCGAUAAGCCGGAGGAAGGAGCGGGCGACGGUAGGUCAGUAUGCCCCGAAACCCCCGGGCUACACGCGCGCUACAAUGGGCGGGACAAUGGGAUCCGACCCCGAAAGGGGAAGGGAAUCCCCUAAACCCGCCCUCAGUUCGGAUCGCGGGCUGCAACUCGCCCGCGUGAAGCUGGAAUCCCUAGUACCCGCGUGUCAUCAUCGCGCGGCGAAU
rnacentral:rRNA from 2 species